ACGGUACAACGAGUCGCAAGCUCGCGAGAGUAAGCUAAUCUCUUAAAGCCGUUCUCAGUUCGGACUGUAGGCUGCAACUCGCCUACACGAAGUCGGAAUCGCUAGUAAUCGCGGAUCAGCAUGCCGCGGCGAAUACGUUCCCGGGCCUUGUACACACCGCCCGUCACACCAUGGGAGUUUGUAACGCCCAAAGUCGGUGGCCUAACCUUUAUGGAGGGAGCCGCCUAAGGCGGGACAGAUGACUGGGGUGAAGUCGUAACAAGGUACC
rnacentral:rRNA from 1 species